UGUAAACUUCUUUUAUCUGGGACGAAAAAAGGGAAUUCUUUCUCACUUGACGGUACCAGAGGAAUAAGCACCGGCUAACUCCGUGCCAGCAGCCGCGGUAAUACGGAGGGUGCAAGCGUUAUCCGGAUUUACUGGGUUUAAAGGGUGCGUAGGUGGGUAGGUAAGUCAGUGGUGAAAUCUUCAAGCUUAACUUGGAAACUGCCAUUGAUACUAUUUAUCUUGAAUACUUUGGAGGUAAGCGGAAUAUGUCAUGUAGCGGUGAAAUGCUUAGAUAUGACAUAGAACACCAAUUGCGAAGGCAGCUUACUACACAGUGAUUGACACUGAGGCACGGAAGCGUGGGGAUCAAACAGGAUUAGAUACCCUGGUAGUCCACGCCCUAAACGAUGGAUACUCGACAUUAGCGAUACACGGUUAGUGUCUGAGCGAAAGCAUUAAGUAUCCCACCUGGGAAGUACGACCGCAAGGUUGAAACUCAAAUGAAUUGACGGAA
rnacentral:rRNA from 1 species